GCCCUGGGCUCAUGCCCCCAGGAGGGGUGGAGUCUUCUCUCUGAGGCGGAGGGGUCAGGGCGGGAGUUACGGAUGUCUGUUCGGGUUCGAGGAGUGUUGCGCCUUACAACCAAUCACACACGAUUCUGUUGCGUUUAUGAAAGCGAUGUCCAAUCAGAGGCGUUCAGAUGAGUCAUUGGUGAAACAUCGGUGAAACAUCGAGUUUUGUUGUUCAGUGAGCGCGAAUUCUCUAAUAAACAACAAACUGCAGAUGUACGUGCGAUGAGCUGCUGCUGAUGGUACUGCUGAUACUGCUGGAGCUGCUGUAGGUGGUUCUGCUGCUGCAACGUCAGCUGCUGCUG